rnacentral:misc_RNA from 1 species
GUGAAUCAUCGAAUUUUUGAACGCAAAUUGCACUGUCUGGUAUUCCGGAGAGUAUGCCUGUUUGAGGGUCAGUUAACUAAAAAUCGGAGUGGUUGCUGCCUUUCGUGGUGACGCGUCGGGUUUGAGGCGUCUUACGUUCGGUUCAGCUUCUUAAAAGUUUUGCAUGAUUUUCGAACGUAUUUAAAUCGUUUACGUACGUUGGAGGUAUCGAGUGCUUCUUAGGUUCGUG